GGACAUACCUCUGGUGUACCAGUUGUUCUGCCAAGAGCACCGCUGGGUAGCUACGUAUGGAUUAGAUAAUCGCUGACAGCAUCUAAGUGAGAAACUAACCUCGCGAUGAGAUUUCCCAUUCGUCAGAAGUAAGACCCCUGAGAGACGAUCAGGUAGAUAGGCUAGAAGUGGAAGUGUAGUGAUGCAUGGAGCGGACUAGUACUAAUAGGUCGAGGACUUAACCAAG
rnacentral:rRNA from 1 species